rnacentral:rRNA from 1 species
AGUGAACGCUGGCGGCAUGCCUAACACAUGCAAGUCGAACGGCCGCACAGUGAGAUCUCUCUUUUACGGUUGGCGACUGGCGGGCGAGUAAGGAAUACAUCACAAUCUUCUUUUUCUUGGGUGACAACGUGGGGACAGUUACGCUACUACCUCAUACGUUCUACGGCUUGAAUCAGUGGUUCUUGGGGCCUUUGGCGAUUCUAUUAGCCGGUGUCGGAUUAGCUAGUUGGCUGGGUAAAGGCCCACCAAGGCGACGAUCCGUAGCUGGUCUGAGAGGAUGAUCAGCCACACUGGAACUGAGACACGGUCCAGACUCCUACGGGAGGCAGCAGUGGGGAAUAUUGGGCAAUGGGCGAAAGCCUGAUGCAGCCAUACCGCGUGGGUGAAGAAGGCCUUCGGAUUGUAAAGCUCUUUUAUUGGGAAAGAAAAGCAGUAGGUUAAUACAUGGAUGUUUUGACGGUACCUAAAGAAAAAGCACCGGCUAACUUCGUG